UCGGCUGCCACUUACAGAUGGGCCCGCGGCGCAUUAGCUAGUUGGCGGGGUAACGGCCCACCAAGGCAACGAUGCGUAGCCGACCUGAGAGGGUGAUCGGCCACACUGGGACUGAGACACGGCCCAAACUCCUACGGGAGGCAGCAGUAGGGAAUCUUCCGCAAUGGACGAAAGUCUGACGGAGCAACGCCGCGUGAGUGAUGAAGGUUUUCGGAUCGUAAAGCUCUGUUGUUAGGAAGAACAAGUACCGUUCG
rnacentral:rRNA from 1 species